rnacentral:rRNA from 1 species
AUUGAACGCUGGCGGCAGGCCUAACACAUGCAAGUCGAACGAGGGGCGGACGGGUGAGUAGUGUCGGGGAAACUGCGUGAUGGAGGGGGAUAACUACUGGAAGCUGUAGCUACUACCGCAUUCUAUGGUAUGUGCCCAGGUGGGAUUAGCUAGUGGGGGGGGGAAAGGCUCACCUAGGCGACGAUCCCUAGCUGGUCUGAGAGGAUGACCAGCCACACGGGAACUGAGACACGGUCCAGACUCCUACGGGAGGCAGCAGUGGGGAAUAUUGCACAAGGGGCGCAAGCCUGAUGCAGCCAUGCCGCGGGUGGGAAGAAGGUCUUCGGGUUGUAAAGCACUUUCAGCGGGGAGGCGUUACCCGCAGAAGAAGCACCGGCUAACUCCGUGCCAGCAGCCGCGGUAAUAC